rnacentral:rRNA from 1 species
GACGAACGCUGGCGGCGUGCCUAAUACAUGCAAGUCGAACGCAUUGGGGACGGGUGAGUAACACGUGGGUAACCUCCCAUCAGAGGGGAUAACACUUGGAAACAGGUGCUCAACCGAUACUGCUGGAUGGACCCGCGGUGCAUUAGCUAGUUGGUUAGGUAACGGCUAACCAAGGCCACGAUGCAUAGCGGACCUGAGAGGGUGAGCGGACACAGUGGGACUGAGAAACGGCCCAGACUCAUACGGGAGGCAGCAGUAGGGAAUCGUCGGAAAUGGACGAAAGUCUGACCGAGCAACGCCGCGUGAGUGAAGAAGGUUUUCGGAUCGUAAAACUCUGUGGGUAGAGAAGCGGUAUCUAACCAGAAAGCCACGGCUAACUACGUGCCAGCAGCCGCGGUAAGAC